ACGAGCCUUUUUCAAUUAACCUGAAAUACACAAGACGGGACACAAUCUUAGCUGUAACUAUCGGAGAAAUUUAGAUGGUAGACCCGAGGAGAAUAAUGUUAAUUCGUUAGUUCGCUAGCUGAAUUGGUACUGUAUAAGUAGGCUGUGUUACUGAAAUACUCUGAUAUAACCAGUUAUCAGCAACAUUUAAUCGGCAUAGCUAAUCGGUUAAAUUGAAUUCUCCAUUUUUGCUAGCGUUCGUAUGUCAGAACAGAACCGGAUGGCGACGUUUUUCAGUGAACAAUCUACCCCAUAAUGAAGUUGCAAUUGCACUGUAAACAAUCAUGUGUUGUGUUCAUUAUUUUCGCGCUGUUUACCAGCGCGUGAACAACUGGGUAUGCAGUAAGUUAGGCGACAGAAAUGGAGCCCAUUAUGUUCGUGAUGGUCAUGCUACUUUUCAUGGGGUGUACAUUGCACAUGAAACGGGGAAAAGAUUGGCUGUGGUGAGGAGACAGCGACUGAUCGUCGAAAACGGGAACCGACGAAGGCAGGCUAUCCGGAGAGCGGCAGCAAGGAGACGAGCAUUACUGAGAAGGGUUGCGCUUGCCAGCACCGAUGGAGAAAGCCUUGCAAGGUAUGGCAGGAUUAAUGUCAGUGUCCCGAUCCUCACAAAAUUUUUUGAUGAGGACCAGGAUCUCCAGCCAGACUUUCGUUUGUCCAGACGGGCAAUCCGGAGUCUCUUGAGAAUGCUCCCCAACAUGAGGGACCAUGGCUGGGGCUACAAACUAGAUGUCCUCACCUUUGUGUACUGGCUGGCCUGUGGGACAUCCUACCGUGUGGUGUCAGAGGUGUUUGCUGUCCCACGCAGCAGAGUACACAGGAUGGUCCAUGCCAUUGCAGAUGACCUGAUUUCCAUCCUGCCGAGAGUCAUACACCUCCUUGAAACCGGAGACCUGGAAGCCAUUGGAGAGGGGUUCUGUCGGCUGGCAGGACAUUCAGCGUUCAGGAAGGCUGUGGGAGCCAUUGAUGGGUGCCACAUACGAUUGAAGCCACCCGGAGGAGUCACUGGACAGUGCUAUAUCAACAGGAAAUUUUUUCCAUCAAUUAUCCUGCAGGCUGUCUGUGACUUCUCUGGGAAAUUCGUGGAUGUCUUUGUGGGUUUCCCGGGGUUCAUGACUCACGGGUCCUGCGGAACAGCCCCAUAUAUGUACAGCAGCUGUAUCCUCCCCGUGGAUACAUGCUGCUUGGUGAUGGAGGGUAUCCCUGCUUGGAGGAUCCAAUCCACCUCAUAACCCCCUACAGGGAGCCUGUCCAGGGGCCGGUGGAGGCCCGCUUUAACCGGCAUCAUUCCAAAGCUCGCUCCAUAAUUGAGCGAGCUUUUGGACUGAUGAAGUCCAGAUGGAGGAGCAUCUUCUUUUCAUCCCUAGAGGUGCACCCUUCAUUUGCACCGAAGGUUAUUGCAGCCUGCGCUAUCCUUCACAAUGUCUGCCUGGCUGCUGACGAUGUCCUGGAGGAAGACAGAAGACCACUGUCAGAAAAUGACCCUGACCCAGUGCCCAUCCUUAGGGGGGAGAUGCCGGGACAGCACCUGAGGGCAAGACUGGCGGAGGAGGUGUCGGCCCCAGAUGUGUGUCCUGGUGGUCUGCAAGACCACAUUUAUUGGCGCUCUGAUGUAGUAUAAAAUGUGUUUUUUUUUUUUUUUUUUUUUUCCAAUUUGCUUAUUUUUUCUAAAUUUUUUAUAGUACCUUCCCUGUAGUGCAUUAUUUGCUACAUACUUUUUUGCCAUAUAGCUUAUUGUUUGUAAAUGUUGUUCCAUCUCUCCAUCCAUGUCCAUGUCCCUCUCUUCACAAUAAUUAAAUUGUUUUUAACAGUUCA